GGGGGCGUGGCUUAAGUGGUAGAGCACUUGCCUAGUAAGCACCGAGACCUGCGUUCAAAUCUCAGUGCUGCCA
rnacentral:tRNA from 1 species